GCUGGAAUCGCUAGUAAUCGUAGAUCAGCAUGCUACGGUGAAUACGUUCCCGGGUCUUGUACACACCGCCCGUCACACCACGAGAGUUUGUAACACCCGAAGCCGGUGGAGCAACCUUUUAGGAGCUAGCCGUCGAAGGUGGGACAAAUGAUUGGGGUGAAGUCGUAACAAGGUAGCCGUAUCGGAAGGUGCGGCUGGAUCACCUCCUUU
rnacentral:rRNA from 1 species